AUGGCGGCCGCACUUCUCGCCGCCACGCGCUCGCCUCUCCCGCUGACAUUUUGGAGACGGAGGCCUCUUCUCGCGGCUCCACCGCCCGCGCUCCGCCCGAGGGAUCCAGCCUCUGCUCCUCCCGGAAUCCCGCCGCCUCCCCGCAAAGCUCUCGCUCCCGUCGCCAGAGCGCCGACGCCGGCGCGAGGCGGCGGUGACGCGACGGAGGAGCCGGGCCAGGCGCCCGGCGACUGGGCGGGGCGGCUGGCGCUGGGCGCGCUCCUGGGCUCCGCCGCCCUGCUCGGCGGCCGUGGCGCGGCACUCGCGGCGGCCGAGGACUCCAUCUAGGCGUCCGGGUUCGGGCUGCGGGUGGCGGCGUCGCUGCGGAGCCUCGGCUGGCCCGACGACGCCGUCGUGUUCAUAAUUGCCACAUUGCCGGUGCUAGAGCUGCGCGGAGCAAUUCCGGCCGGGUAUUGGAUGCGCCGUCACCCCGUCCAGCUGACCGUCCUGGCAGUUUUGAUGAACAUGGUGCCUGUGCCAUUCAUCAUCCUCUACCUGAAGAAACUCGCAAAGAAGCGCUGGGGUGACCCGGACAAUGGACCUCUUCUCGAGCGGGCGUGAUGAAAUGCUGCGGCUGUCGAGGAGUUCCAGUGGCUGAUCAGGCUGAUGACGUUGGUUGCCGUUCCGUUCCCAGGCACCGGAGCAUGGACCGGCGCUAUCAUCACGUCUGUCCUUGCCAUGCCGUUCUGGUCAGGCUUGUCCGCCAACUUUGUGGGAGUCGUCCUAGCAGGGUUGCUGGUAAACUUGCUCAUGAAUCUCGGUGUGAAGUACGCCAUUGGCACGGGGGCGCUCCUCUUGAUUGUAUCAACUGUCAUGUGGGGUGCCCUUCAGGGUGUGAAGAAAUCGUUGAAUACGAAAUGA
rnacentral:rRNA from 1 species